rnacentral:rRNA from 1 species
GAUGAACGCUGGCGGCGUGCCUAAUACAUGUAAGUCGAGCGAACAGAUAAGGAGCUUGCUCCUUUGACGUUAGCGGCGGACGGGUGAGUAACACGUGGAUAACCUACCUAUAAGACUGGGAUAACUUCGGGAAACCGGAGCUAAUACCGGAUAACAUAUUGAACCGCAUGGUUCAAUAGUGAAAGGCGGCUUUGCUGUCACUUAUAGAUGGAUCCGCGCCGUAUUAGCUAGUUGGUAAGGUAACGGCUUACCAAGGCAACGAUACGUAGCCGACCUGAGAGGGUGAUCGGCCACACUGGAACUGAGACACGGUCCAGACUCCUACGGGAGGCAGCAGUAGGGAAUCUUCCGCAAUGGGCGAAAGCCUGACGGAGCAACGCCGCGUGAGUGAUGAAGGUCUUCGGAUCGUAAAACUCUGUUAUCAGGGAAGAACAAAUGUGUAAGUAACUGUGCACAUCUUGACGGUACCUGAUCAGAAAGCCACGGCUAACUACGUG